rnacentral:lncRNA from 1 species
GCAAGAAGUAUCAACAUACAUUUAAUAAUGGGCUAAAUUACAGAAAUAACAACAAACUGCAAUUGCUAUUUCUUGCAUUUAAACCAAAUUUAUUAUUACAGACACUAACAUACACACAUACAAAGCAUACACACACCACCGACAAACCAAACACAUACACAAAGCAUACAUAUUAGAUUUUUUUUGGAAAUAAAAUGCUAUAAUUGGGAUUUCAUUAUUGUAUCUUUCUAGGGGAUUUCAUUAGAGGGAUUAUUUAAGUCAUAAAUUGCCAUACCUUAUAGAACUUUGCAUAAAGAUAAAAACUUUCCCGACCAACAACAUUAUCUUGGCCAAUCUUCUAACCAUGGUUAUCCCAUUUACAAACCUGCAUCUCUGGAAAAAAAAAAAUUAGAAGACUAAAAAAUUGGAAGGAAACAAAAAAGAAAAAUGAUGUAUAAUCUACAAAAAUCACAGAAAAAACAAUGAUAAAUCAUCUAACCGUGACUUAUCCCAUAAUAAACAAAAAAUGCAGAAAAAAUGAAUUGAUUGAUUUAUUAUGAAAAAGAAAAAAAGCAAAUGAUCCAUUCAUAUGCAUAAAGAACAUAACUUUAGAAAGUACAUAUUUUCUAUUUGUUUGUUCCUAUUGGCUAUCAUAUUCGAGUUUUUCCAUGACAAAUCUAACCUCACCAUAGGGCUUAGCUUGAAAGCCAUCUCCAAUAUGAGAAUUGUUAAGUUCAUAAUUCUUUGAUGUUUUUGCUUUUCUUAUGGAGCUAAUAAUCACCAUCAUCAAUAACCAACAAUCAAAAAUCCCAAAAUGAAAAACGAUAACAUGAGAUAACCAUCCUCGUUCUUCCCCUGCUCUGAAACUGAAAAUAAUGUACUUCAGUAAUUACAAACACCAAAAAAAUUAGACGUUAAGCAAAAAAUUUCAAUCUAAAGUAGUUGUUUAUGAGUCAAUCUAAAGCUUCUUCUAUACAAACAACAAAAUCUCAGGAUACAUUUUAAUUGAUUAUAAAAUCACCUGAUUUGUAGACGACUUGGGAAAGAUGUUUGAUUUCUUGUGUUUUGAAUGGAAAUUUGAAGGCUGAUGCUGCUGAUGUUGAGGGAUGGUCAUGAUCAACGGAGGAGGUGUCAAUUAAUAUGGAGAUAUAAGAGAACAGGAGGUGGAGGCGUCUGGAUGAAGAAGAAAACGAAGAGUUACACUUUGGGAAAACAGGAUUUAGUUAACCUUAGCCCACAAUUUAAGGCUCUUCUUCACCACUAAAGACUGCUUCAUCGAUAAUGUUGGCACAAAAAAGUGCCAAAAUCGAAGACUUAUAUGGCGGGAAUGGAGAUCGUAGGUGGUGUAGUUACCGGUUCAGAUGGGAGCACAAUCCUUAAUUAUGAAAGGAACCACCAGAGGCAAUUGAGUCAUGGGUAGGUUGAGAACCCGAUUGCUCCAGAAGAACCGCCGACUGUGAGGAACCUGGAGAGAAGAAGGAGGAAUCGUGGGACGACCGAAGACGGAAGGGUGAACGAUUAUUGUAAAUAGAGAGUUAUUAGGCUGGAGAGUGGUGCUGUUCCGGGAAGUGCGGUUUAGCCAUAAGCAGCGAACACCUUUUGGACGCCGUUUGGCUGCGCCUUGUGAUCCGGUGUAGAUAAUUUGACUGUUU